rnacentral:lncRNA from 1 species
UACGUAUCGGUGACGAAUACAUAUUUCAAUCUAACAACUACCCAAAAUAUCGAAUUGGUAUUAAAGAUGAUGAUACUGCAGCUAUUCUUACAAAUAGUUUGGAUGAGUUUCGUGUUGUUAAAGCACUUAAUGGACGAGGCGAUUCUGUUUCCCUUCAGGCAAUAAAAGAAAGCACAAAAUACUUACGUCACCGAAAUUUUAUUCUCAAGCUUGACGUACUUGAUCUCGAUUCUGAGCUGUUCAAAAACGAUGCAUCUUUUAUUAUUCGUGAUAAUUACUAUUAUCCCGGCUUCGUUUCGAUUGAAUCCACAAAUUACCCCGGCUAUUUUCUCAGACAUCAAGACUAUACAAUAAAAUUGCAUAAAGAAGAACCUUUUGUUGAACUCUACCGAAGAGAUGCAAGCUUUAAACUGGUGCAAUCGGAUCUUUGUAAUUAGACGGAAACAUUUUGAUUCACACA